rnacentral:lncRNA from 1 species
UUACAUACAUAUGAAAACUGUAACCCAAUUAAUAUCAUAAGCACAACACUUAUUAGAAUCUCCGGAAUAUGCCUAAAGGUGAUAUUUUCAUUAUGUUUUAUGCUUUACAAAAAAAAGAUGACUCAUCUUACUCAAUUGAUUGACGUUUUCUUCUUUCUUUUUUGGUCUGCGAUAUUGACGUUUCCCUUCUCUGUAUUUUCCAG